UCGGGAAUUUUGGGCAAUGGGGGAAACCCUGACCCAGCAACGCCGCGUGAAGGAUGAAGUAUUUCGGUAUGUAAACUUCGAAAGAAUAGGAAGAAUAAAUGACGGUACUAUUUAUAAGGUCCGGCUAACUACGUGCCAGCAGCCGCGGUAAUACGUAGGGACCAAGCGUUGUUCGGAUUUACUGGGCGUAAAGGGUGCGCAGGCGGUUCUGUAAGUCAGAUGUGAAAUCCCCGGGCUUAACCUGGGAAUUGCGUUUGAAACUGCAGAGCUAGAGUGUGGCAGAGGGGGGUGGAAUUCCAUGUGUAGCAGUGAAAUGCGUAGAGAUAUGGAGGAACAUCGAUGGCGAAGGCAGCCCCCUGGGUUAACACUGACGCUCAUACACGAAAGCGUGGGUAGCAAACAGGAUUAGAUACCCCAGUAGUCCCUGAGCGGGCUGGCAAGGCGCAU
rnacentral:rRNA from 1 species